rnacentral:rRNA from 1 species
GUUGUAUGGUUAAGUGACUAAGCGUACACGGUGGAUGCCUUGGCAGUCAGAGGCGAUGAAGGACGUAUUAACUUGCGAUAAGCCCAGAUUAGGUAGUAAAAACCAUUUGAGUCUGGGAUUUCCGAAUGGGGAAACCCACUUACAUAAGUAAGUAUCGUUA